rnacentral:rRNA from 1 species
UACAGAGGUCUCAAGCGUUGUUCGGAUUCAUUGGGCGUAAAGGGUGCGUAGGCGGCGCGGUAAGUCGGGUGUGAAAUCUCGGAGCUUAACUUCGAAACUGCAUUCGAUACUGCCGUGCUUGAGGACUGGAGAGGAGACUGGAAUUUACGGUGUAGCGGUGAAAUGCGUAGAGAUUGGGAAGAACACCGGUGGCGAAAGCGCUCUGCUGGGCCGCAACUGACACUAAUGGACGAAAGCUAGGGGAGCGAAUGGG